UACAGAGGGUGCAAGCGUUGUUCGGAAUUAUUGGGCGUAAAGCGCGUGUAGGCGGCUUUGCAAGUCGCGUGUGAAAGCCCCCGGCUCAACUGGGGAGGGUCACGCGAUACUGGUCGACUCGAAGGCAGGAGAGGGUAGUGGAAUUCCCGGUGUAGAGGUGAAAUUCGUAGAUAUUAGGAAGAACACCAGUGGCGAAGGCGGCUCACUGGCCCGGUACUGACGCUGAGGCGCGAAAGCGUGGGGAGCAAACAGG
rnacentral:rRNA from 1 species